rnacentral:SRP_RNA from 2 species
GCCGGGUGCGGUGGUGCGCACCUGUAGUCCCAGCUACUCUGGAGGCUGAGGCAGGAGAAUUGCUUGAACCUGGGAGGCAAAGGUUGCAGUGAGCCAAGAUUGCACUGCACUCCAGCCUGGGUGACCAAGCAAUACUCUGUCUCAA